GGAGGAAAUCGGAUCCCGGGGGAGCGGCACCGGAAACGAGUCCGGCCUUUUGGCCGGGAGGCUGCAAACUCCGGGGACCCGGGACCUCUCGGAAGGCCGGCUCGUAAACUUGCCGGCGCGCCUUCGGGGAGGCAACGGGGUAACCUUUCUGUCCUUGGCCGGCAGUGCCCUCCCGGGAUCCGGCUCGUUAGCCGAGGUGCUCGUGUGUGUUGUGAACAUGGUGUGCGGAAAGCACCGUUACGGAAGGGUCAGGGGAAAGAAGGCACCUGAGAAACUGAGUUAAAAUGCACGAUAAUGACAGGUUUCAUUAACUCCAGUGAAAGUGUUGCCGCCUGGGCACCCAGUUCUUAAAGAGCAGUUAGCGUUCUCAUGUUUUGAUUGCCUGACAAUCUUGUGACGAAAAUUGAAAGUGAAGUUAAAGCAGUUUUAUAAGAAAACAAGAUAAUAUAUGUAUUCUGGCUUCCUUUUCUUUGUAUUCUGGUGUCAGGCAAAGCAGUAAUAAUUUGGAAAAUUUGGGUAUUGUGAGUGUAACUUUUUGUUAGAGGAUGGGAAUCUUCCAAAUGAAGUCAAGACUGAAGAAUAUUUUUAAAGCUCAGUAAAUGGGGUGUGCAUUUUACCUUUACGGGUAAUUUUAUUGUAGAAUUCAAUAGCUUUUUUUAGUCUUGAAACAGGCUGUCUCCUUUCUCAGUAUAUAAAUUGAAGUUGUGCUGAAUUUGAGACUCAGUGAUUUUGCAAGUUGGAAAAGUAGAGGAUAGCAAACAUGCAGUUAUAAAGAAUAUGUAGGGUGGUGUGCACUCCUCAAAUCCCAGCAGACGAGGCUGUAUAGUUGGUCAUUGUGAAUUAAGUGGAUCUCAGACCUUAAUUCUUUAAAGGUCCUGGGAGUGUCCCCAAUAACCCUUCGUUGCCAUCAAAGAAACUUAAUUGGUGUUUAUACACAUCUAGGGACAGCUCAGUGAUAAGCCCAACAGUGACCUGAGUUUGGAUCCCAGGCACUCAACCAAUAGUGGAAGGAGAGGACUGACUCAAGAAAGUUAUCUUUUUAUCUCAAUUUGUGAAAACACAAUAAAAAGUAACCAUAACAACCUCCUCCCCUGUAUUUCUUUGCAUAGCCUCGGCUCUCUUGGAAGUAGUUCUAUAGAUCAGGCUGGGGGAUUGAAGGAAUCUGCUAAUGCCACCCAGCUAAAAAAAAAAAAAAAGUUGUGAGGUAUCACAAAGCCAGAGCAGGAGUUGCAGCUUAGUUGGUAAAGUGCUUGCCAGGUAUGCCCGAAGCCUUGGCUUCCAUCCUCAGCACUCUGUAGUUAGGCAUGGUGGCAUCUGCCUGUAAUCCCAGCAUUGUUGUUAUCCUCAGCUACAUAGAGGGUUCCAGGUCAACCUGGGCUGUGUAAGACCUGGUUUCAAAAGAGGGAGAUAGUGGAAAACCACACCAGUUUUCCAAAUCCUGUAUCACAUUUGUGUGUGGUGAUCAAAUAUUUUUGUAGAAAAGUAUAAAGCAUGAAAUAAUGUGCUAAUUCAGUUGUGAACAUUUGUAUACUUGGAAAGUACCAUUUUAUGAGUAGCAAAAAAAAAAAGUUAAUGUCCUAAUGGACGAAUUUCCUCCCUAUAACAUUGGGCCUCCAAGGAAUAUUAGUGAUAGGCCUCUAGUCAUAUUCAUCAACAUUUGUACCUCUCACUUAAGUCUUCAUGAGUUGGAAAGUAUAGCUACUACUCAAUGUUAGCAUGGGUUUCAAUCAAUAACUUUCAAUACCUUUAGAAACUUUUUUUUUGUUUUCUGGUUUUUGGAGACGGGGCUUAUCUGUGUAGCUUGUAGACCAGGCUGGCCUUGAACUCAAUCUCUGCCUGCCUCCCUCCUGAGUGCUGGGAUUAAAGGCAUGAGCCACCACUGCCUGGGCUUUAGAAACUUUUAUUUACACUAUAAAGCAUCUUUCUCAGAAUACUAAUUGUCAAUUUUUUGUUUGUUUUUGGCCUCAUGUUACCUCAGGACCAGAGUAAUGAGGGGCCUCCAGAUCCUCAACAUGAUCUUUGCUUGUAUGGGCAUUCUGUGCAUUAUGUAAUCACUUAGGAAUGAACUUCAUUAAGUAGAUAAAGUCUGUCUUUUUGGUACUUAGUAAAAUCUAGAGUAUUUUACAUUUACAGCAGGAGUAUAGUUACAGUGUGUACCAUUUUGACCUCAGGUUUCAGGUGUUCGGCAAAGAUAAGUAUAUUUCUUAAUUAAUAAUACAAUUGUGGGAAUUGUUUAGCUGCUUUUAAAAAAUCAGAUUUUGCUAGCUGGAUACAGCUAUACAGGUGUUUUCUGUCUAUCUACAGCUUUAUCUCGGAUAAGGCUUUUUCCAGAUAUAAGAUAGAAUUAAGUUCUCUAAGGCAACUGAAAGGUAUCCCUUGUUCUUUUUACUAGAAUGUUUUGAGAUAUUUUAGAUAAGUUGCUUUAAAUUGGUAAGUUUGGAUGUGGCUUGGGAGCACUGUAUUUUAGUUAGUUAGUUUUUUCUAUUUCAUCUGUAUAUUUCCAUUAAGGUGAUACUACAUUGAAGUCCUGGGAAGGAAUGACUGACAUUGUGAGAGCAGGCAAAACUAACACUAUUUUAGAUUAGACACCAUCUUGAGGGGCCCCUGACUGGACCCUGAACCUGGUUCCAGGAAAAGCCACAAAAGGCUAAAAAUUGCUUCAGAACUCAUCCCCCUGAGUCAGCUAAGACUAACAGACGGGUUAUCAUGGUCACCAGAUUUUCUAACAGAAAAUGCCAAGGCAUGUACCCCUCCCCCCUCAACUUUUAGUUUUCCCUUUAUAAACUCUCCCCUGCUGAUUUGCGUGCGCCCCCCCUUCUCCUCUCACCUGCCUUUGGAUGGCCUGAAUUUAAGUUUGCUUUCAAUAAACCCCUGUGCAUUUGCAUUGGUACCUGGUUAUGUGGUGGCCAUGUUCAGGGUUCCCCCCCAUCCUGGUCAUAACAUUUUGGGGGCUCGUCUGGGAUUCCCUCCCCCCAACCUGGGCCUGAGGGGUUCUUGACUGGCUGGUAAAUAUUUUUGUCUUUGUCCCCGUCUCUGUCCUUGUGUUUGUACUUUUGUUUUCAAAAGUGUGCCAAAUCUGCAACAUGGUCCAGUAACAGUCGGUGUCUAAGACAGGUGGAUGAGCUAAAAGGACUGCGUCACUGGGAAAGGGGAAGAGGAUACCCUUGAGACUUGUUUGAUCAAGGAUGGAGAACCUAGAGUAUGAACGUUUUUUGGGGUAAUUGAACCUGGAGAAUUGCUCCCUUUGAGGCAUCCCAAGCUGCUACUGUUUUUGCAUUAUUAUUGGUUGUCUUCCUGGGGAAAAGUUUACCAGGGCAGAAACACUGAAGAGAAUACAUCUUCCGACCCCACUCCUAUCCCAGAGCCUGCACCUGUGGAGACUCUGGGGAACAGGCAGCAGCCCCUAUGGAAGCUGGUCAGGAACCAGAGUGGGGAGAGCCAGAAGCACUAGGAGUCAGAGGGUGGGACCUCCUGACACUUUCGCCCUCCCUUUAAGAGUUGCAGGUACUCCUGAUGCAUUUGGGAACCAACUCUUUCACUUUUGGACCUUUGCUACUAAUGACCUCUAAAACUGGAAAUUCUAAACCCCCUCUUUUUCUAAAAACCCUUGUGGUUUGUUCAGUCUCUUCAAGACUGUCCUUUUUAUAUACCAGCCUACCUGGGAUGACUGUCAGCAGCUUUUUCAGAUCCUGUUCACUACAGAAGAGAAGGACCGGAUCCAGGUGGAACCCUGGAAAUUGGUUCUGGGUCCCACUAGAGAGCCUACCACCAACUAGGCUCUCAGUGAUGCUGCCUUCUCUGUGACCCACCCCGGAUGGGACCACAAUAUGGCUGAAGGUAGGGGGAGCUUCCUGGUCUAUCGCCAGACUCUUAGCAGGUCUCAAAGCUGCUGCACAGCAGCCUGAAAAUCUGAGUAAGGUCUAUGAUGUUAGACAAGAGGCAGAAGAAAGUUCAGUCGAAUUCUUAGAGUGGCUGCAGGAUGUCUUCUGGAGGUAGACUCCAUAUGAACCAGACUCGCUGAAAGGCACAGCUGCCUUAUUUCCAGCGUCUAUUAACCAGCAGCCCCAAAUAUUAAGAAAAAGCUACAAAGGAUAGGAGUAGAAGAUAUCAGAGAGUUAGUUGUGUUGGCUGAAAAAGUAUACAAUGGAAGUGCAGAGGAAAAGCAGAUGAAGAACAACAUAAAACCCACCAUCUUCCAAGUGUGUUACUGGCUGCUGUGGCUUAACCUGAAGAACGCAAAAGACAAUUGAGGUACCUGAUUGUGGGAAACAAGGACCAAGAACCUAGAGGAAACAAAGAAAAAACCUGGUUAGGAAAGAAUCAGUGUGCCUAUUGUAAGAAAGAGAGACAUUAGGCUAGAGAAUGCACAAAUAAAGACUAAGGACAACACUAAGGACUUAGGCAAGGGACAGACAGGGGAGACAGGGCUUGGACCCCCUGCUCGAACCUAGAGUAGUAACUCUUAAGAGUGGAGGGGGGAAAAGAUUAACUUCAUGGUUGGUACUAGGGCCCAGAAUUCAGUGCUUUUAGAACCAUCUGGGCCCGUGUCCAACAAUCAGACCUAGGUCCAUGGGACCAUGGAAAUAAAACCCUACUCAUGGACUACCCAGAGGACGGUGGAUUUGGGAAUGGACCAGGUAACCCAUUCAUUCCUAGUAAUACCAUAAUGCCCCUAUCCUCUCCUGGAGUGGGACCUGCUUUCCAAAAUGAAGGCUCUAAUCCAUUUCUCCCAUAAAGGGGCCAAAGUUCUUCGAGAAACUGGAGAACUGGUCCAGGUGCUCAUGACUCAUUACCUCACAGAUGAAUACAGGCUACCCCAACCCGAGGUCGAGCCAGAGGCUGACGUAUAGAUAUGGUUCUCAGUUCCUUCAAGCCAGGACUGAAACUGGAGGUAUAGGACUUAAAAAAUAUUAGUGAACCUAAAACAUGGAACAGGACCUAUUAAUGUCCACCUGUACCCCAUGCCCCGGGAAGCUAAGGCAGGUAUUACAUCCCACAUAAGGUGUCUGUUGAACCUUGGGGUACUGAGGCCUAUUCAGUCGACCUGAAACACACACACACACACACCCCCAAUCCACCUGUCAAAAAGCCUCAUGCCAUUGAUAAUCAACUGGUCCAGGACUUGAGAGAAGUUGACAAAUAGAUAAUGGACAUUCAUCCCACAGUCCCAAACCCAUAUACCCUGCCACCAGAGCACACUUGGUAUGCUGUCCUGAACUUAAAGGAUGCUUUUUUCAACCUCACAUUUUUCAACCCUGAGCCAACCUUACUUCACCUUUGAAUGGCACAACCCAGAGAUUGGGGUCAGUGGCCAACUAACCUGGACCCGGCUACUGCAAGGAUUCAACCCCCCCCCCAUCUUUGAUGCUUUACAUAAGGACUUGGGUGAGUACCAUACUCAACACUCAGAUGUUACCUCAUUCCAGUAUGUAGAUUAUUUGCUUAAAGCAGCAACUGACCAGGAGACUUGCCUAAGAGGGGCCAAGGGACUGCACCAAACAUUGGGAAAACUAGGUUAUCGAGCAUUGGUUAAAAAGGCCCAGAUCUGCAAGUGGCAGGUCACAUAUUUGGGUUAUGUCCUAAAAGGGGCAGUGAUGGUUGUAAGAUGCCUAGAGAGAGAAGGUGCUUAAGAUUUCCAGUCCCAACCACUGCAAGACAGGUGAGAGAAUUUCUCAGCACUGCUGGCUUCUGCCAGCUCUGGAUCUUUGGGAUUGCGUAAAUAGCUAAGUCUUUGUAUGAGGCUACAAAAGACAAAGAAAAAUUCCUACGGAGAGAUAGCCAGUAGGUGGCCUUUGAGACCUUAAGGCAAAGCUUACUGUCAGCCCCAGCCCUGGGUCUGCCUGAUGUCACUAAGCCAUUUUAUCUGUUGAUGAGCAUGGAAGAAUCACCAAAGGGAUUCUAACCCAGACUCUGUGACUCUGGGAGCCAUCUGGCUUACUUGCCGAGCAAACUAGACCCAGUUAAGACAGGAUGGCUUCCAUGCCUUUGCAUAAUAGCCAAUGUGGCUUUGCUGGUAAAAGAUGCAGGCAAAUUGACUUUGGGGCAGAACCUAACCAUUGUUACCUCUCAUGCUCUUGAAGGGGUACUCAAACUACCUCCUGACCAAUGGCUCAGUAAUGCCUGCCUAACCCACUACCAGAAUUGCUAAGUCCCACCAGAAUAAUGUUUCAGGUGCUCACCACUCUGAACACAGCUAUGCUGCUACCUGAUCGAGACCUGGAAGUGCCCCUACGUGACUGCUCCAAGAUCCUUGCACGGGUGCACAGGGCCAGACCCUAUCUACAGGGCACUCCUCUGCCAGAUGCAGAGGUUACCUAAUAUGGAUGGGAGCAGUUUUAUACAUGAUGGACAAAGGGGCUACAGUGACUACAUUGGAAAAAGUGGACAGGGCUGAGCCAAUGCCUCCCAGCACUUCAUCACAGAAGGCAGAGCUUAUGGCUCUGACAAGGGCCUUAGAACUAGGCCAAGAGAAAAGGAUUAACAUUUACACUGAUAGCUACUAUCCCUUUGCAAUGUGCAUGUACACGGAGCAGUAUGCAAAGAAAGAGGGCUCAACUGCUUAAGGAGAGACUAUUAAAAACAAACAUGAGGUUCUAGCACCCAAAGAAACUGGUUAUUAUUCAUUGCUUGGGACAUAGGAAGGGAGACGGGCCAGUGCCAAGAGGCAACAAUUUGGCAGACAAGGCAGCUUAGGAGGUGGCUCUGCAGGCUGGGCCUAUAUUGGCUUUAGUUCUUGUGGACCUAGAGCCCUCUACGUUGCCCAAGGCUCCCUAAUUUCCAGGAAAGAUCUAGAUUGCAUAAAGACUUCUGAUGACACAGUGUCUAGAGGGAUGGUGGCCAUUGGCCGGCAGUAAAAUCAUCUUGCCUGACAAGUUGGUUCAGAGCCUAAUUCACUGUUCCUCCCACAUGGGGGUCUGCAGAAUGCAGGACCUAUUGAUACACUCAAAAGUCAAAAUCAAAGAUGGAAAUCAAAUCAUGGACCUCGUUCUCCAAAUGUAAGGCCUGCCAACUAACCAAUGCUGUGGCCAAAUCUUAGAAAUCCAGGAUCCUGACUUAGGGAGGAAGAAACUCAAGUUUCUACUGGGAAGUUGACUUCACUGAGGGAAAACCUGGCAGAUAUGAAUAUAAAUAUUUACUGGUUUUCAUAGACCUUUUCAAGAUGGACAGAGGCUUUCCCUGCCAAGCAUGAAAUAGCGUAGGUGGUAGCAAAGAAAUUGCUUGAAGACAUCCUACCCAGGUAUACUUUUACUGCUAUGAUAGGGUCAGGUAAGUCAGGAUUUAGCUACCAUCCUGGGGUGUGAUUGGAAAUUUGCAUUGUGCUUGUUAGAUCCCAGAGUUCAGGACAGGUAGAACAAAUGAACAGAAUCUUAAGAGACCUUAACAAAAUAGCCUUAGAGACUGGCGUGGACUGGGUAGCCCUCCUCCCCUUUGCCCUUUUCAGGGUAAGGAAUCCUUACCAGAUGGGGCUAACUCCCUAUGAAAUCAUAUUUGGCAGAGUGCCCCCCCCCAUUGUUUCUGCUCUACAGAUGGAGCUCCUGGCCAAUAUAGAAGAACAGGAAAUGCUAAAGGACAUAAAAAAGCUACACUGGGCACAUACAAAUUUUGACCUAAACUUAGGGCCCUUUAUGAAUCUGGUAGGUUCCCCCUCCCCCCCUUAACUUCACAGGUUUUGACCCAGGGACUGGGUCUAUGUCAAGAGACCCAAGAAAACCUAGAGCUCAGAUGUAAGGGACCCUUCGUUGUUCUGCUCACUAUUCCCAUAUUCCCAUGGCUUUGAAAGUUGACAGAGUGGCAACCUGGAUCUACUACUCCCACACCAGACUGGCGAACCUCUUUGCCCUGAAGGAAUACUACCGUGGACAAGGAAGGGAGGCAACAGCACACCACCGAUCUGCUCAAGGUUUGAAUUCAAUGACACCUUGAACAACAACCUUUAUAAUCAUCCUAUUGGUGCAGACAUCCGCCCAUGUCCACCCUACAAGAGACUCCUGUACCCAAUGGAACCAAAGUUGGAUAGUUGUCAAUGCAGACAUGGGGACCAUAGCCAAUAGUACUCUUACCAGUCUCAUUUAAGCAACUGGUUCCCCGACCUCUAAGUGGACCUUUGUGACCUGGUAGGAGACAAUUGGAACCCCUCAGAUCAGGAGCCCUUCCCUAGGUAUGGAUGUAACUCCUAGGGGACGUGGGGCCACCAGAUCCCUGGGGUUCUAUGUCUGCUCAGGACACUCCUGUUCCAAAGCCCAACAUAAGAAAUGUGGAGGGCCGGGGGAUUCUUAAUGUGCCAGUUGCACGUGAAUACACUGGGUGGAUCAACUGGUCACCCCUUCCUCCCUCCAUGACGGGAUAUGAUAAUUGUCUAACAGGCAGGGGACAUAAAAACAGUGGUGAUAUGGUUCCUAAAUCACCCCUGGGUGAUGGCUGGAGGGCGCUGCAACCUACUGGUUAACUGCUUUUAUGAGACUGGCAGAAAAGCUGAUUGGACUACUGCUAAAACUUGGGGUUUGUGACUUUACUGUCGAGGCCACGAUCCAAAACUAACCUUCAUUAUCCUCAGACUGCAGUCAAGCCUCAGCCACGAUAGGCCCCAACCAGCUGAUUAACUCUGUAUCCCCCAGGCCCAUUCUUCCUACAUUCUCCGCCCAGUUCUGUGACUCUGACCUAUGUAUCCCCUUACCACCAAGGGCUCUCUUUCACAGCUCUUAACAGCAUCUUACCUGUUCUUGAAUGCUUCUAGGCCAGAUGUAACCACCGCUUGCUGGCUGUGUUGCGACACUACACACCCCCUUAUUAUGAGGGGAUUGCAUUGCCAGGAGCUUACUCAAAUACCUCUAACUCCAGGGAUUGCCACAGGCAGUCCAAGGCAUUCCUGACCUUCCAGCAGGUCACUGGAUAAGGCGCCUGCAUUGGAUGGGUACCCCAAGCCACAACCACCUCUGCAACUCCACCUUCCCCGUUUGAGGGCUAAAUUAUCUAGUUCCUCCCAUGGGCCUGUUUGACUGGCCUAAUAGCCUGUGCCCAUGCUCAGAAGAGCUCAAGGGUUCUGUGUCCUAGUCCAGCUCCUUCCCCGACUGAUCUAUUAUACCGAAAACGAGUUUCUCCACUGAUUUACCCAAACCCUUCGAGCUCCCAGACGGGUAAGGCAUGAGCCUGUAACUACCUUGACCCUUAGCCUUAUACUUGAGUAUGGAAUAGCAGCUGGCAUAGGCACAGGCACCACUAUUGUUGUAAAUUAAGGGCUAGCUUAGAUGCAGACCUUAGAUGUGAGGUAGAUUCUGUCAGAAACCUGGAAGACUCCCUUAUCUCUAACAGAGGUAACCCCCCAAAACUGACCAGGGCUAAAUCUCAUAUUUUUAUAACAUGGCAGAGGACUUUGUAGUGCUUGGGGAAUAAUGUUGCUUUUAUACCAUUGAGGUUAUCAAAGACAACAGGGCUAAGAUCAGACAAACAAAGAUGGGAGAGAGACCAACCAGGGAUGGUUUGACUCCUAGUUCAAUGGCUCUCCCUGGAUGACCACCCUAAUAUUAGCCCUGACAGGUCCUUUUUUAAUACUUUUUGCCCCUAACAUUUGGUCUCUGUAUCAUCAGUCGACUAAUGUGGUUUGUAUGUGAGCUGGUGGGGACCCUUCAGUUGAUGGUCACUUGAACCCAGACUCAGAAUGAGAUGAUGACCUACGGGUUCUGGUGUAUGAUAUGUUCCUAUCCAAAGUCCAUAAGUGAGAGUCCAAGAUUGGCCUCUAAGAUCCAAAGAGAUGGGGAAAUGUGGGACCAAGCAAAACUAACACUAUUUUAGACUAGACACCAUCUUCAGAGGCCCCUGACUGAACCCUGAACUCAGUUCCAGGAAAAACCACAAACGGCUAAAAAUUGUUUUAGAAUUCCUUAUUCCCGAGUCAGCUAGUCAUGAGACUAACAGACAGCUUAUCAUGGUCACCAGAUGUUAUGACAGAAAUUCCUCACUGCUUGCUUAUUAACCCCAGAGCCAAUCAGCCAAAGAGUCACCUUCCUACUCUAAUCAGAAAAUGUCAUGCAUGUACCCCCUCCCCCCCCAGCUUGUGGUUUUUCCUUUAUAAAUCUUCCUUGCUUUCAAUAAACCCUUGUGUAUUUGCAUUGGUACCUGACUCUGUGGUGGUUGUGUUUGGGUGGGCGGGGUGUGUGUGGGGGUGUCCCAGGGUGUAACAGCAUCACCUUAAUUGCAUCUCCCUACCUUGUUCUCUUUUAUCUUUGAUUUUGAGACAGCUCUAUCCCUAGCUAGCCUGGAACUCUUGCUUCUGCUUCCCAGGUGCCUGAAUUAAAGGCAAGUGCUACCAUGCCUGGCCCCAUGUCUUGUUCUCUUUUGGCUUGUGUGAUUAGAUAAUGUCUAGAAAGGAACUUAAGACUGAAUGAAUUGUCUAUUAAGAAUGGCUAAUUUUAGCAAGUUCUGUAAUCUAUAUUAAAUAACUAGAUUUAGGUUAAAGGUUAUGGUGGCUGUAGAGGAGUUUUGAAAGUAGGGAAGGAAGGACUAAGACUCUUCAAGUUGAGAAUCUAUAGAAUAAUAAGCUGAACAAGUCACCCAGGUUGGAGUCACUGCCUUACCCUAACUGUUUGCACAUGUUUAUAGAGUUUAGAGCCCAGUGUAUUUAGAUAUAUGGGGAUAGCAUAGAAUUUGGCUUAUGUGUGAUAGAAGAUUUAGCCUAAUAGUCCACUGUGUAGUGGAAAACUUGAAAAGGAGCGCUGAGGAUUGACUUGGCAUUGAUUACCUUUUAAACAGUUUUCAGAAUUUAAUUAGCUCUGAUUUAAUCAAAAGUGUCUUAAGUGUCUGCCAUAUGUCUAAGAAAGGAAAUGUCCUUUUGGGCAAUGUGACCUAGUAAAUACUUUGCUAUUUAAAACUUAACAUGAACCUCAGGGUUAGUGCAUUGUAUUUAAUUGGGUGGAGAUCUUGUAAUUGGGUUUCUUUGAUUAGAGAAACAGAAAUCUCGAAAAUGUUAUCCAGUGCUCAGAAAUUACUUCCUGUUGCUAGACAUACUGAAAGUGCUUUAUCAAAGGAAAGCAAAAAUACCAUUGGAGAGUUUAGUAAUGUUACACUAUCGAGCAAGCACCAGCAAUUCAUAUUCAAUUGAGUAUUUGAGAUAGAGGGCUAAGUGGCUAGGGUUCUAAUUUUGAAUUGUGUGGGGUAAGUUAGUGAAACUGGAGGUAGAACUAGAGGAAUGCUUUGUUCUAUUUGUAGGAAAGUUGGGACCAGCAAUGUUGCACGCCUUUAAUCCCACUUGAGAGGCAGACGCAGGCGGAUCUCUAUGAGUUUGAGGCCAGCCUGGUCUACAAAGCUACACAGAGAAACCCUGUCUUGGGGCGGGGGAGGGACUAUAUAGAAAAGUAGCAUUCUGAGCUAUCCUCUAAAAACGCAGAAAAAUACCAAGUACCCCUCUGACUCACAGCAUCCAAAUGUUACAUAGUUGCCAGUUAUCUUUAUUUCAAAAUGAAGUAAAUGUGUUUUCUGUCUUUUUCUCUCUAACUUUGCUUUAACUGAACAUUGAUUGCUUCCCCUUAGCUGUAAAUUUACAUUUUAGUUUCCAAUGUUUGUCCUAAUCAAUUUCUAAAUAGCAGACAGGUAACAGUUAUUACCAAAAUAAUUUGUGACUAUAAUCAUUUGCAGGAAUUAAGGGUUUAUUGAUUUGUGGAUGGUGUUAUUUUCUGCAUUAUGAAUGACUAGACCUGGGUCAGAACUGUUUAGAAUUAUGAGUACUGCGUGGUGGCUCACACACCUGUGGUUUCAACACUGGAAUCUGGAGCAGGAGGAAUGUUGGGAACCGGGAUUACAAAGGAGAACGGCUUCCUGUGGUGCUCAGCUGUGAUUGCUUUCAACAUUCGCCGUGGAUAUUCUCUUCACUGUGGGAUGAGGUAGUAGGUUGUAUAGUUUUAGGGUCACACCCACCACUGGGAGAUAACUAUACAAUCUACUGUCUUUCCUAAGGUGAUGGAAAAGUCUGCAUUCAUGGAAUCUUGGAAGACCAAGAACUGAAGUGUUUUAAAGUGUAACUUACCUUAAAAGGCAUUUGUUUAUGGUGGGCAUGUCUUUUUAGAUUAAAAAAAUUAACAAGUAUAUGAUAGAAAUGGGGCAAGUUUUUACUUAUGUGUUCUAUGUCAGUGUAAAUGGAUUUAAUUUUGAUUGAUGCUGAUGAUUUAAUUUUAACUUUCUUUGAAAGAGAUUGAUAUUUAUUCCAGAAGAAAAAAAUUGCUCUAUCAGAGUGAGGUAGUAGAUUGUAUAGUUGUGGGGUAGUGAUUUUACCCUGUUCAGGAGAUAACUAUACAAUCUAUUGCCUUCCCUGAGGAGUAGACUUGCUGCAUUGUUUUUAUCUAGAGGAUAUUAUAAAACUUAGGUGAAUUUUGACUUUUUGUUUUACAGUUAAUUUCCUUAAAGUGCAAUAAACAUGGUUAUAUAACAUUUUUAGUGUGCAUGUUUCAAGAAAUUUAGACAAUGGAAUGGGAAAAGUUCUACAUUUCUGUCCAGGGAGAGAUGUCUUGGGAAAAAGGACAUACCCAUUAGAAAGGGUACUUCUGGGCUAAAUUCAAAUCAGAUGGCUUGUCUUAUUUCCAUACUUUGAAUGCUGUAGAUGUUAAUACAACUUCAUUGAUAUGUUGGUUUGGACAGACUUUACUGGCCAACAAAAAGAAAGGGGCUCUGGCUUCUGUCCUGGCUCUGCUAAGACCUCAGUUUUACCCACAGAAUAAAAGAACCAAAACUCAGGUGGCAAACUCCAUAAUUGGUAUCUUUAAAGAAAACAUUAGAGGAUUAUUAGAAAAGCUUAUUUAAAUGUUAGCACCAUCAAUGGGCUCAUGUUUCAACUUUUUCUAGUGAUCAAACUGUAUCUGUUGGGCCUUUAAUGCAGUGCCAAAAGGUCCAGGUUUUAAGUGUUUGCUAUUCAAACUAUUUUGAAAAGGCAGAAUAUGGAAGGCAUGGACAAUUAUAAUACCUAAUUAUAAUUGUAGUGAAAUGUCAUAGUCAGUAUGAUCUUUACAUGGAACAAAACUGUCCUUGGGACAGGCUCAAUCCAAAUAAUUUAUCCUGAACCAGAUUUAAACUAUCUGGCGUAGAUAGACAGACACUUUGGAAAAUUGGUCUUUGUUCUAAAUUUGACAUGUAAAACACAAAGGAGCAGGGGGGACUUACACAGAUAAUCUAAUAAUGCCAAAGAAAGGCAGAAAUGUUUAAGAAAUUCUUCUUUGCUUAAUCUUUCUUAAGUUGACAAUAUGUAUAACCUGUUGAAUGUGUUGCAAGUAGCUGAGUUAUUUUUUUGUGGUUUUCUGCUCCUUUUAUCCUUCCAGCAUGGAUGUCUACCAGUUCAUAGUUUUGAAACAGAUUUUCCUGAGGCCUGGAGACAUCACUUUAUAUUUUGGUUAUUAAUUGCAUGAGGACUAACAUCCUUAUUAUUCCAAGUAGAUAGAAUUUGGAGAACUGGUGUAUUUUGUAAGACCACUUAAAAGUGACUGUGGAGAGUGAUGCUCUCUUAAUGUUGCUCUUUGCCAGUGGCAAAAGUCAUGACCAGAAUUUGCUUCUGUUUUAUUCAGCAGGGUCAAUGGAGAUGCUAACCAAAAAGUGAGAAGCAUAUGGCCUGAAUAUGGGACAAGCUUUAAGUUCAUUUGUUUCAAUUGAUAGAUCACAAGCAAGUUUUAUAUAUUUUGUUAGGUAAUAUUCUGGUUAAAAAAGAGGCCAUUUUAUGAGACAUGAUGUUUCAAUUUUGAUAAUUGUUUUAAAUAAAAGUGACUCUAGUAUGCAGUGGCCCAAUUGUUAGAUGAUUGGUUUUUUAUCCUCAUGUAAUUGGAUUAAUUUUUGGCUUUUGCCAAAAUCAAGUGGCCAAAAACUUUUAAGAACAUCAGUGAAAAGAAUUCUAAUUGGUUGAAUUUGUAACAAUUUAAAGGCCUGGUUUAACAUGUGCUUGAAGCAUCUGCCACGUAGAAGACCAGCAAGAAUAAAAUGGGCUCCUAGGAAGAGGUAGUAGGUUGCAUAGUUUUAGGGCAGGGAUUUUGCCCACAAGGAGGUAACUAUACGACCUGCUGCCUUUCUUAGGGCCUUAUUAUACCACCGUACUGUUUCCUUUCUACCUUGGUUUGGUGUAAGCAAGAGUUCUUCUGCAGGUGUUCUCGUGGAAACAUUGCAGGUAUCCUGAAGAUAGUGUUUGCAUUGAUUAGUAAACAGAAGCAUGUCACCAAUGUUUGUUAUGGUCAUCUAAUGAGAAUUUGAGAUUUCCAAAGCAAACCGUAGUUGUUUAUGUAUCUUACAUUUGGGUCACUGGGAUGUUUUGGAAAGCAGAGUUUUCAUAUUCAUCAUUUGCUUAAUUUUUUUCUUCUGUGACAUGGAGAGUAUCAACUAUUCCCAUAUUUGAAAGAAAGCAUUUAACAAAACUUUGGAUAUUUGGCCUUAAUACUGUAAAUAUGUAAAAUGUUUUGUGUUUCCUGUAUAGUGAGGGAAGUAUUGCAUUGAGUGGCUCGUUAUACAGCUUGUAACUUGACAAUAUAAAUGAAAAUAGUUGUUAGGAUAGUAGACUAACAUUUUCAAUAAAAAUGACAUACUUUUAAAACUUUUGCUUUCCUAUUUUGUGCUGUGUCUACCUCACCCAUUGUCAUAUUGUAGCUUUGAACCUGAGAUCCUUUUAUUUGACUUUUCAGAUGCUAGGCUUGCAAGUGUGCCCCAUUAUACCUGACAACAAAUCAUCUUACUGUUUUCUUUAAAUAUCUAUUAACUUCACUUUUCAUUAGUAACUACUACCAUUAUUACUGUUACCAUUAGAUGUAUUACUAAUGCCAAUUCAAUAUUCAACAUUUCUUAUUUUGUAAACAUCUGUAUAACUUUGUGUCCCAUGUGGAUGACUAUAAAUGUGGUUACGUUUGCUUA